rfam:Lupinus angustifolius cultivar Tanjil chromosome LG06, whole genome shotgun sequence.
GGUAGAAUAGUUAGUUAACUUGUCAGGCUCAUGACCUGAACAUUGCAGGUUUGAAUCCUGGUUUCCAUCA